GAUGAACGCUAGCUACAGGCUUAACACAUGCAAGUCGAGGGGCAUCACAAGGUAGCAAUACUGAGGUGGCGACCGGCGCACGGGUGAGUAACACGUAUCCAACCUGCCGUUUACUCUUGGAUAGCCUUCUGAAAAGGAGAUUAAUACAAGAUAGUAUCAUGAGAUCACAUGUUCACAUGAUUAAAGAAUUUCGGUAAACGAUGGGGAUGCGUUCCAUUAGAUAGUAGGCGGGGUAACGGCCCACCUAGUCUACGAUGGAUAGGGGUUCUGAGAGGAAGGUCCCCCACACGGGUACUGAGACACGGACCAGACUCCUACGGGAGGCAGCAGUGGGGAAUAUUGCACAAUGGGGGAAACCCUGAUGCAGCCAUGCCGCGUGUGUGAAGAAGGCCUUCGGGUUGUAAAGCUCCUUUGUCCGGGAGGAAAUCCCGUAACCCAAUACGUUACGGGGAUGACAGUACUGGAAGAAUAAGCACCGGCUAACUACGUGCCAGCCGCCGCAGUAAUAC
rnacentral:rRNA from 1 species